rnacentral:rRNA from 1 species
AGCGUUAUCCGGAAUUAUUGGGCGUAAAGGGCUCGUAGGCGGUUCGUCGCGUCCGGUGUGAAAGUCCAUCGCUUAACGGUGGAUCCGCGCCGGGUACGGGCGGGCUUGAGUGCGGUAGGGGAGACUGGAAUUCCCGGUGUAACGGUGGAAUGUGUAGAUAUCGGGAAGAACACCAAUGGCGAAGGCAGGUCUCUGGGCCGUCACUGACGCUGAGGAGCAAAGCGUGGGGAGCAACAGGAUUAGAUACCCUGGUAGUCCACGCCGUAAACGGUGGAUGCUGGAUGUGGGGACCCU